CCUACGGGAGGCUGCAGUCGAGAAUCUUUUGCAAUGCCCGAAAGGGUGACAAUGCGACGCCGCGUGAGCGAUGAAGGCCUUCGGGUUGUAAAGCUCUGUCAGUUGGGAUGAAGGCCUAUGGGUUAAUAACCUAUAGGAUUGACGGUACCAGCAAAGGAAGCCACGGCUAACUCCGUGCCAGCAGCCGCGGUAAUACGGAGGUGGCAAGCGUUGUUCGGAUUUACUGGGUGUAAAGGACAUGUAGGCGUCUUAUUAAGUCGGAUGUGAAAUCCCUUGGCUCAACCAAGGAACUGCAUCCGAUACUGGUAAGAUUGAGUACGAGAGGGGUAAUCGGAAUUCCAGAAGUAAGGGUGAAAUCUGUAGAUAUCUGGAGGAACACCAUUAGCGAAGGCGGAUUACUGGCUCGAUACUGACGCUGAAAUGUGAAAGCUAGGGUAGCGAACAGGAUUAGAUACCCUGGUAGUCUUAGCUGUAAACGAUGGGCACUAGAUGCUGGUCUCUCGCGAGGUCAGUGUCGUAGCUAACGCAUUAAGUGCCCCACCUGGGGACUACGGUCGCAAGGCUAAAACUCAAAGGAAUUGACGGGGACCCGCACAAGCGGUGGAGCAUGUGGUUUAAUUCGAUGCUACGCGAGGAACCUUACCUGGGCUUGACAUGUAUGAUGUAGGAACCUGAAAGGGGGACCACUGGUAACCAAUCCAGAACAUACACAGGUGCUGCAUGGCUGUCGUCAGCUCGUGUCGUGAGAUGUUGGGUUAAGUCCCGCAACGAGCGCAACCAUCGUCCUAUGUUGCUAAUUUAUCUUCGGAUAAAAGCACUCUUAGGAGACUGCCAGUUUUUAACUGGAGGAAGGA
rnacentral:rRNA from 1 species